CAGCCGUAAACUAUGCUCGCUAGGUGUCAGGCAUGGCGCGACCGUGUCUGGUGCCGCAGGGAAGCCGUGAAGCGAGCCACCUGGGAAGUACGGCCGCAAGGCUGAAACUUAAAGGAAUUGGCGGGGGGAGCACCACAACAGGUGGAGCCUGCGGUUUAAUUGGACUCAACGCCGGGAAGCUCACCGGAUAGGGACAGCAGAAUGAUUGCCGGGCUGAAGACCCUGCAUGACUAGCUGAGAGGAGGUGCAUGGCGUAGACGUCU
rnacentral:rRNA from 1 species